UACGUAGGGUGCAAGCGUUAAUCGGAAUUACUGGGCGUAAAGCGUGCGCAGGCGGCUUUGCAAGACAGAUGUGAAAUCCCCGGGCUAACCUGGGAACUGCAUUUGUGACUGCAUGGCUGGAGUGCGGCAGAGGGGGAUGGAAUUCCGGCGUGUAGCAGUGAAAUGCGUAGAUAUGCGGAGGAACACCGAUGGCGAAGGCAAUCCCCUGGGCCUGCACUGACGCUCAUGCACGAAAGCGUGGGGAGCAAACAGG
rnacentral:rRNA from 1 species